UCUCACGCAAUCCAGGUGUUUAAUACAGACAUGCACCCAUUGCACACACGCACCCUGGCCACAUACGGCCCACUAGGCUCAGCCCAAACUCACACUAGACCCUUUCUCCCUCAGGCUCCACUGCUCAGGUGGGAGCAGGUGUGACACGGAGGAGAUCCUCACCGGCGGCGAGGGGGCUUGGAUGCGCGUCUAGGCAGCGCUGCGCGUGCUGCGUGGGUGACGGCGCGAGGUGAGGGGAUUGGGAGGAGCAGAACCUCUAUCGGGAGGACCUCCUGAUUGCUAGGGUUAACGAGGUUCGAUUGGGCAUAGCUGGGCGCAGCAUGGAUGCUCCGGAUGUGGAAGAGCAUGGUGGCUCGGUACCUCCUGUUCGAACAGAGAGAAAGAGAGAGAACGGGAUGGAGGAAGGAGAGAACAAGAGGAAGGAGAGGGAGAGGAGGAAGGAAGGGCGGCACUGGGUAGCUGGUUCUGGCGGGGGUCGCCGGGGUCGAGGUGGCCAGGCGAGGCCGGGGGCGCUGGCUUCUCCAUCACUUCUGGUUCCCCACUGUUGCUUCGGGCCUCCUCUCCCUCUCCAUCUUGCGCUCCUCCUGCUCCACUUCAUGUCCAGCCGUGGCUACAUCUAUACAGGGGAUACAAUGUCAAAUUACAUUCUGCGGAUGUCUUGCAGAUAAAAAUCCUUGUGGUGGAGGUCGAUGUUACAUGAAAUUCUUCGGAGUUCUUUCGAAUCGAAAGAUCAGGAAAUAAGCUUGUGGUGACUUUGUGAGGUUUUCGCAUUGGACCGUUUGGAACUUCAGAUUGACAGACAGCUAGAGACCCCGGUGCUCUAAAGGAUGUUGAAUUUGAGAACAGAAUUUAUUGUUGUUAAAUAUUAUUUGCUUCUUUCAUAUGGAAAAAGUUAGCGUUGUUGGGAGCUCGAUGUUGAAGUGGGCCUUGACAGUGGCAAGUUGGGAGCGAGCAAGGUAGAUGUCGUCGUCGACAAGGGCCAUGACCUCAUCUCCUUUGGCUCCAAGUCCGACUACCACCACAACUAGACAUGCUCCUCCAUAGGCCUUGGAUUACUGUCAGCUACGAGAUGGAGUUCGGAGAAAGGGCCAUUGUCAACGUCUGUAUGUCGGGGAAACUGAUCCUCGAACACCUAUGGGGCCGGCGGACCGGGACCCUUUCGGUUUGGCGGGGGGCAGAGAUCGCACGGAGAGCAGAUCGAGGCGAAGCA